GACAGAGGUGCCGAGCGUUAGGCGGAAUCACUGGGCUUAAAGCGUGUGUAGGCGGGUCCGGAAGUCCCUUGUGAAAUCCCACGGCUCAACCGUGGAACUGCUUGGUAUACUGCGGGUCUUGAGCCACCUAGGGGCAAGCGGAACAAGCGGUGGAGCGGUGAAAUGCGUAGAUAUCGCUUGGAACGCCGAAGGUGAAAACAGGCUGCUGGGGUUGUGCCGACGCUGAGACACGAAAGCCAGGGGAGCAAACGGG
rnacentral:rRNA from 1 species